UUCAUGACACCAUCCUGCACAAAUAAA
rnacentral:sRNA from 1 species